CACGUAGGGCGCAAGCGUUGUCCGGAAUUAUUGGGCGUAAAGAGCUCGUAGGCGGUCUGUUGCGUCCGCUGUGAAAACUCGGGGCUUAACCCCGAGCCUGCAGUGGAUACGGGCAGACUAGAGGUAGGUAGGGGAGAAUGGAAUUCCCGGUGUAGCGGUGAAAUGCGCAGAUAUCGGGAGGAACACCGGUGGCGAAGGCGGUUCUCUGGGCCUUACCUGACGCUGAGAAGCGAAAGCAUGGGUAGCAAACAGG
rnacentral:rRNA from 1 species